UUAUGUGCUCAUCUAGCAAUGAUCAUCAGGAGCCCAAAGCUCCAACUCCUCAAAAAUCUGAUAUGCCCGAUUGGUACGCCACCUUUUAAUUUCAGUAUCAUAUAUGGAUUAAUCAACCUUUAAAUCAACAUUUUCUGCAUGAAAACAACAAGGGAUCUGUUUUUCCGAUGCCAAUUUAAUUCGUGCAGGAAAAAAUGGACUGUUGGGAUUGUGUUUUCCAUAAUUCUACCUGCAGUUGGACACAAAAUGGGACCUUUAAUGCUUCUCAAAAGUCAGUAAGCUUUUCUGGGCCUUGUAAAGGUUUAGUUACAGAACUACUAUAAUAGUACUAGAAUCAUUUUAAUAUACUGUCGAUCCAUUUUUAUUUAGCUGGUGGAUGGUUCUAGGCAAGGUGGAUAUGGUCAUACAAAAAGUGGACGAAGUGACAGAGGUGGUGGAAGACAUAGCUGAAGCAGCAGUAGAUGUUGUAGAAACAGUAGAGGAGAAGCUUCCUGAAGAUUCAAAGCUCAGGGAAGAGGUUCAUACUAUCAAGGAUCUAGCUGAAAAAGCCGUUGAAAAAGCAAAACAAGCUGAUGAGCUUCUUGACCAGGUAACUUUUUUGGUUUGCAAGUUUGUUUUGUGGGUUCUCUAGUUUGAUGUACUGCAGCUAAUCAUUAAACGAUGCUGAUAUAUUUAACGAAAUCUCAGAAAAUGAAAAUUCAACAAGAAAUCUGAUGAAGAUGAUGAUUCUCGAAAAUUUUGCAGAUAAAGGAUGUUGAGGAUAAAUUUAUGGAAUCGCUUAGAGGACCUGAACGCAAUGAAGCAGAAAAAGAACCAAGCAACAAAGACGUGGAUCGGUCCGUCAAGGCAUAAUUGUGCAAAGUUGGCUUCACUUAGGCUCUGUUUGUUUGGACUGAAAAUCUUUUCCAGAAAAUAUUUUCUUCAAUUUCUGGUGUUUGGCUGCAAAAGAGGUCAGGAAAAUUUUUUCCAGUAGAAAAUCUUUUACAUAACUUGGUGUAAAAUGACUUCCGGAAUUAAGAUACGGAAGUUAAUUUCCGACAACUAUCGUGACUUACUAGUCUCCUUGGUACUUGGCUAUUGUACAAAACCAUCAAGUACUACAUCACAGAGAUCAAAUCAAGAGCAACAUCCCUGCACUUGCUUCUGCAAAUUCCACAACUUUCCACCUCUUCGAGCUCCCUUCUUUCUUAUGUUCCUCCCUACUAUUCAUUUUCACUUGCUCCACACAAACACAUUUAUGGAUUAUACAAUUCUAGAUCUAAAUUGGGCUUUACAUUGAGAAGCUUUGGAGAAGGAAAAAAAAAGUGAAGCCAAUGGAGGCAGGAGGAAUACUUUUAGAAGAAGAGUUAAUACAAUAAACAUCAAGUUACAAUUUCUAAUUUCUUAUAAUGGUUCAAUCAAUAAUUUAAACUUUUUAUUACAAUGAUACUCAACUGGGUUUGGGAGAUUGUGAGUUCUUGGUUAUGGUCUUUAAUUUAUUUUUUGGGACUUGAAAGGAUUUGGAUUAGGGGUGGGCACGGGUCGGGUACCCGCCCCUAACAUGAUUUGGCUGACCCGACCCUAAUAUAUCGGAUCAGCCAUUUUGCGACCCUAACCCGCUCCUAAUAUUUUCGGGUACCCGAAUAACGGGUACCCGAAAAAAAGGGGCGGGUCAUAGGGUACCCGCCCCUAAAAAAAACUAUUUUUCAAUAAAAAAAAUUUAUUUUCUACUUAAUAUCAACAUGUUUUUCAAUAAAAAAAAACAUGCUUUUCCAAUUAAUAUUGGUAGAGAUAUUGUAAUUAAAGUCCAUACAUCACCAUUCUCACACAUUUCAUCCAAUAAUCAAAUCGAUCUCAUAAAUUUAGUACAUAUUAGAAUAUCUAAUAGACAAAACGAAGUUUCAUAAUAAUUUUGAGUACAUCACCAUUUUCACACAUUUCAUACUUCUACAACAUAACAAACACAAGGAUAAUAAGUAUUUGGUAACUUCCCCAAGGAUAAUAUGGUACAAGACCGCAUCUCAAAUAAGUCAAUUGUGAAAUCAAGUUCGGAAAAAAAUUGAAUAGAACUAAUUAUUUUUGAAAAAAAUAUAACAAAAAAUAAUGUUAAAAAUCUUUCCCAACUUCUUUACAUCUUUGGAAUAGACCUUAUGGUAUUAAGGUGAUGAAAAAGAAAAAUAAAUUUCUUACACUAAAUAAAAGAGACAAAUUAAAGAGAUAUAAUUGCAAAUGAAUGACACAAAUAUUUUAAUUAUCUAGCUAACAGAAAAUUGAAACUCCAAACAAAAAUCUUUGAUUGAAUUGAUGCAAGAUUUGCAGGAAAGAUCGAUGGAGGUAGAAUAAAAAUAAAAAAGAUGAAAGGGAUGAACAAUUUUUAUAACAGAGUUUCACAAAUUUUUUUUUUCAUUUUGUUCAUGUUUCACCGAGAAUAUUCGCUUUCUUAAAAAAAAAUGAGAAGAGUAGAUCAUAUAGGAUUAGAAUAUGAGGCUGCGAGCCACUUCACUUGCACUUAGAAUUAAAAAUUACAAAAUUAUAAAAUGAUCCCUACUUUUUUAAUAUUUAUAAAAUAUACCCUGCGGGUCGGGUACCCGCGGGUUUUUAUUUUUCUGAUCCGUAUCCGUACCCGAUUUUUCGGGUACCCGACCCUCAUCUGCCCCGCUGAGAAAAAUCGGAUCGGGUAUCCUAUUUUUCGGAUCGGAUCGGAUCGGAUUCAUCGGGUUUUCGGAUCGGCGGGUUUUUUUGCCCACCCCUAAUUUGGAUUGGGGAUUGUUUGUGGUGACUGAUGAGGUGGGUAGAGGUAAUGAUAAUUAGUAGUAGCAAUUACCGAAAGAGAAAUCUGAGGACAAUAUUAUUGUUGGAGGAUUUUAAUUUUUUUGGAACAUUUUCUUAAAAUUGCACCAAACACCAGAAAAUGAAGGGAAAAUUAGAUAUUUUCCAGGAAAGCAUUUUCAUUGAAAAUGUUUUCUUAAGGAAAAUAUUCUACAUUGAAACAAACAGACCCUUAAUGUCGUUUUGGUUCAUUAGUGAGGAUAAAUGGUGAGUAUUUUGUGUUCUAGAUUUUUGAUGGAAUAUAUAGAUUUGCAACUACGGUUUAAAAUACUCAAUCUAAUUGUAACUAACUAAUACAGGAAAGAGUUAAAGGUUUUUAAAAAUAAGUUAUUUAAAAAAAAAAAGAAAUUUUUGCUUUUCGACAAGAGAGGGGUAGUAUUUAAAAAGUCAAAGGGAAAAGAAAAUUUUAAAUUUUUAAGACCUUGAAUUCCCGAAAUCUCAAUAUUAGUCCUUAGUUCGUUUGGAUUUCUAUUUUUAGGAGCUUUUGUUUUAUUACUUUUAGAUUGCCACAAACUUUAAUAGUGGAAUAGUCUACUUUGAGAUAUUAACUUUUUUUUCCCCUUUUUGUUUGACACACUCCUUCAAUUUUUAAGAGAAAGCAGCUGCUGAAAAACCCCAAAGAAAAAAGUUUCGAAGUGGUAUUCUAUUGUCCAUAAGUUUCACAUAACCGGAAACUAUCGGAUUUUGAGCGUAGCCUGUUUAAUUAAGGGUCUUCAUUCGAGUUAAAUCCAAAAAUUAAAUGGAAUAGUUAAAAUUGAACCAUCGGCCUCGCAAAGCAGAAGUAUCAAUCAUUGUCAUUCUUAUCUGAAGGCUAUUCUAUGAUGGAAAUCUGUAUGGACUACCAAGGGAAGAAAACCAAUCUAGUGUAGCUGAUUUGACGGCCAGGCAGGGGAUCGAUCAAGUCCCUAAUGUUUAAUUAGUUGCACUAGUCUUGAUUGGAUGUGGGCUGAUUCCUUCCUUGUUCACCUGUAAAUAUUCAUUCGGGUCUGUAAAUAUUCCUUCCCUGUAGCGUAAGAGUAGGUUGGAUAGAUAAGAUUGACGCCGCUCUAAGACGGGCCAUCAUUUCAUUUAAUCUUGUAGCAUAGGAGUAGGUUUGGAUAGAUAAGAUUGACGCCGCUCUAAGACGGGCCAUCAUUUCAUUUAAUGUUGUGAACGAUGACUACAAAGUGAUGAAAAUUCGAUACAAAACCAACUGCCUAAGUUUUCGAGUCAUAAUAGUUUUAAGAAACAAUUCUUGGAAAGUGAUGUGAUGGACUUAGGGGUGUAAUCGAGUCGAGUCGAGUUCGAGUAUUGCUAUACUCGAGCUCGACUCGACUCAUAUACACCAAAGCUCGAGCUCGACUCGACCUCGAGCGAGUCCAAAAAAUCGAUACUGGAGACUCGACUCAAAAAAUUUUCUUUAGGCUCGAGGCUUGACUCGAUACUCGAGGCUCAAAAAUUUUUUUCAUUUUAGGUCUUUUUACAAUUAUGUUAUUAUUUUUUUGCCAUUAUAGGAUUUUAUUAUAAAGAAUGAUAUAUUGUAAAUUUCAUAUAACUUAUACCCAUAAUGGUCAUUUUAUAAUUAUAAUACAUAUAUAUUAUUUAAAUUAUAAAUAUAUUAUUUAAAUAACUCCGGCUCGUCGAGCUACUCGACUCGACUCGAGCUGGGCUAUUUCGACUCGAAACUCAACCCGAGUUCGAGCCGAGUCGUUGACCGAGCUACUCGCGAGUAGCUCGGCUCGCGUGCAUCCCUAGAUGGACUCCACAGAUGUUCACAUUACUACUAAGCACGGGUUUGUGAGUGAGAUUAAAAACAUCGGUGUGGUUCAUAAUGCAUGGCUUUAUUCAUUGGACUUCUUCUUGCACAAAAGAAAUCGAAUCAGGAGGACUGUAUCUCAAUGAAUUCGACAUGAAUUCAGAAAUCUAUUGAGAAACUUUGCUUCCUAUUGAUCCAAUUCCGACUUCUUUGGCCGUUGCAAUCUACUCUGGCCUUUCAAAGGGUAUCGACUAUGGAUUGGAUGGGACAUGUGGAUGAUGAAUGAAGAUAAUUCUUGGACGAAAAAAAUAUUUGUUGUUCUACUAAUCUUUGGACUCUCCAAUUUUAAGACUAAGGUGAUCACAGUACAUGACUGAUCAAAGAGUUGGAGAAUCCUCUCUUGAUCAUGGUUUGCCAUCGUGGGUAGCGGUCACGUCGCGGUCUCAGUUGUUCCACGUCCGUCGCGGCAUAUCGGUUAAAUAUUGGAUGAUACGCACAUUAUAACACAUGAAAGUUUUCAAAAAUUUUUUAAAAAUUACUAAAAUUAGAAAAUAUCAAAAAAAAUGCACAAUUUAAAAAAAUAUCCGAGUCGAUUCCGAAUUGUUUCGGAUACAUCGGCCGAUAUCAUGCAUCACGGAUUCGAAUCGACCAAUAUCGGCCUAGUCAGAGCGAGUCGUCACCGAUAUGCUAAUACUCGCGACUCAGAGAUCGAUAUCGUACCAGCCCUCUCCGUUUCGGUUACAACUCGACCGAUAUCGCAAACCAUGCUCUUGAUGUACCUUCACCUCCUGAUUUCUUCGUCCAAGUUGAAUAUAUAUGCAGAAAGCCUGGUGUCUGAUCUGUUCCAGCUCGAAAAUUGUACGUCCAUUCAAACAAGAAACAAAAGAAGGAGAUGGUAGGACUAGGAGUUAAGAGUUUAGCGCGAAGCUAAUUACGUCCUUCACCUUUGUUCGCUAAUUAAGACCGGCCUUUAAUUUCAAAUUUCCAAUUUCAAAUAAAUUCAGCCUCUAGUGAUGAGUGCCCAAGCCAUUAGAUUAGACAACCUCUUAAGGCUCUAAUGAGUUGGGAGUUGUAACUAGUUCUACCAUCACAAGGCGUGAACAAGAAGACAGAAUGAGGUAGACGCCUUUGCAUGAAAAAUGCAUAAAGUCAGGAUAUGAACGCCAAGCAAUAUUUGAAGGAAAGCACGCAUGCACUUGAGGCAGAGCCUCACCCUUACAAUUGAGUUUCUUUUUCUUCUCUCUCUUUCCAGUUCUAUGUUCAACAUACACAAGAUUCCGUCAGGAGAAAAGUAAUCUUCAUUCUAUAACAAAAAUUAAGAAAGAAAUUCUACCAACAACACAAAAAUUCCUUUCUUUCCUUUUCCCCUUCUACUUCAGCAUUCUAAUCGAAUCAGGAAUACAAAAAUUACUAGCCCUACAAUAACAUACUUUAUCUAUACACAAAAGGUGGUAACAUGGCUAUUUGCUCAAUAUUGGCAUUGUUUUUGCUUUGGUUUUGUCCCUAAAAUUUUUGGCCCUCCAACAAAUACUUUCUUGCAAGUUGCAGCCCCAAUAAGCAGGUUCAAGUAAUAUUUGCCGCAGCUUCGGCUGCAUAAGAUGGAGAUGGGAGAGAAUUCAAACACCUCAAUCCCAUUCUCGCCAACGAAAUCAUCAUGGAAAUCUUGCAUAGACUCCGCGUGAAAUCCCUGGUUCGAUUUCGUUGCCUCUGUAAGUUCUGGCAAAGCCUGACAACCUCAGAGGCCAACCGUCGCUCGGGCGGUUAUUGCGGCACAGAAACAAAACAUCAGGAGUUGAAGAAGCAAAUAGGAGAUUCUGGGGAAAGCAUUCUCAAAUAGUGAUCCACCAUUGUUUCUGGGAACUGAUAUAAACAUGUCAGGCUCCAUUAACGGGGUGUUUUGCCUUACUACAUCUUGUUAUUUCCGGGUCAUUAUCGACAUUCUAAUUUAUAUCUAUGGAAUCCAGCUUUGCACCAAUUCUGGACUGUUCCACAGAGCUAUUAUCAAAGCAGUCAAUAUUAAUUUUUCUGUCUGGUCGUAGGCUUCUUAUUUGAGGAAUUGGCUGAUGACUAUAAAGUUGUGAAAGUUUUCUAUGAGAUGCAAAGCCUCAAAUGUGAGAUGUAUAGUUUGAGAAGCAAUUCUUGGAAACUGAUCAACUUGAUCGAUUGUGCAUGGAAAUGGGAUGACAGGUUGGCUAUAGAACAUAAAGGCUGUCUCCACUGGACUGGUUACAAGUUACAACUCGAACAAAUCAAGAAUGAUGCUGGACAUGUUUGACCCACGUUUACAACAUUUUGAAGAAUUCUUUCUUCCUUUUGAUGUCUCUAUUCUAUUUGCAGGUACAAGUGAUUUUUGGAUAUUCGAAGGGUGGCUUUCUAUAUUUGAUUUUUCAUCACGCGAUGAAUGUGAAAUCUGGAUGAUGAACGAACAUGGUGUACAUAAUUCCUAGACCAAGCAAUACAGGUUACGAUAGCUUCCUAUACUAUGGGAGAGGGGGAGGACCUGAAGAGAUCCAAAGGUAACUUAACUCGGAGGGGACUGAACCACCACCGAAUCAGACGAGUGUACUAAGUACUCGUCUGGAUUUUUUAAACAAGACAACAUUUAAUUGUAGCAAAAACUUGCCUCCCACCCUACUAAGCUUAAAUGCUUUGGUGGUGGCUACCAGCCCAAAGGUUGGUGGUUAAUACAGGUUCUCAUAUCCCGGGAUUUUGAUACCAUUCCUCGCAGGGGAACUAGAGUUAUUACAGCACAUGGAAAGCUUUUAGCUGUUAAGAAAGGUCAUAUUAUCCUAUAUGAUCCAGAAACUCAACGAGCUGAAGAAAGUUUGCAGAUUAAGGUCACGAAGGAUGACUUUCAAAAUCACUUCUUCUUAAUGGAUUAUAUAGAAAGCUUGGUGUCUCUUAUUCCUACUCAAUCCGGUGAAAGAAAUUGGGACAUGGGAAAAGAGAUGCAUUCAGAAAAGAAAUGAAAAUUAAAACAUAAAUAAGAAAUUUUGUGUUAAGAUUGGAUUGUUUGGUUGCUUUCUGUCAGGAAGAUGACAACAAAAUUAUUUAGUUUCAAGGUGAGUUUUAACUUUGGUAGCUUGUUUAGUGACUUUUAUUAUUAUUAUUAUUAUUAUUAUCAAAACAUAUGCUAAUUAAUUUCUUGCCUAUGAUCUUAGUGACUAGAUGAUGAUUCAUCUGAAUGAUAAGAGCAUAGUCUUUCGUUUACUACAAGACUCACAUUUGUUUUAUUUGAAAGUCUUUUAAUGUAGAGUUAAACUCUUGUCAGUUUGGUGCAAAAGCUGCAUUGCUAGAGACUAGUAAAAGACUGCUUGCUAAAUUUGGAAGGUGAAUCCAAUAACAACCACAACAGAUCAAAUCAAAGUAUGGGGAAAAAGAAAAGACAAAUGCAAAAAGAAGGCGUGAAUUCCUGUCUUCUAAGAAGAACCUUUCGAGGCAUUGAUGCGUGCAAGAGAAAAGCCGAGUAGUUCCUUUCUGGGAAAACCGGUUGUACUCGUAUCAUCAAGUAGGCCUUGGUGGCUCUAAAAGAUGCCACAGGUAUAAAUUCCAAUAGCAUAUUUCUGGGCUCCUUCAUAGGAUGACUGCAAAAUGGUGAGAAUUUUGUAUUCAGCAGCGCAAAACAAAAUAUAUAUAUAUAUAUAUAGGUGAAGUAAGACUUCGUGUACAUUACACCACACAAACAUAGUUAUAGAAUCAGGUUCGGUCCAAAAAUCGAACCGUUCAACCUAAUAAAUCGAUCAUUAAACUUGGCCAAGUUUCUGGUUUGACUAGAUAAAGAAUUGAUCCAGUCAAAAUAGUUUGAUCCGUCGAUUCAACUGAAACCUACUUGGUUUCUAGUUGAUUUUUCUUCUUUUCUUUUCUUUUUUUUACAAUUUUGGAUCUUUUUUUUUAACCAAAUUGUAUAUGUGGUUUUGAAAAGAUUUUUGGACAUUGGAUCUCCUUUUCUAUGUGUGUAAGACUUUCUUAGUUUUUAUUUGAUAACUAAAUACUCCCUUAAAUAAAUUUGAUCACUUUUUUUUAUUGUACAAUUAAUCCUUUUAGCUUCCAAACUAAAAAUGUUAUCAUUAUAUAAUACUAUUUGACUAGUUAGAAAAUUAUUUUGUUUUUAACCAAGAGCAAAAUAAUAAAAAAUGAUGUUAUUUCCUUGAAGAUAAGUGAAAUAAUUUUGCUUCAUAUUUGACUACAUAAUUUAUUUGUGUAUAAGUACGAUAAAAUAUAAUUGGGUCUUCUAUUAAUGUUUAUAUGUUCAUAAUAUAUCCUUUUAAGUACUAUAAUUAGUAUCUAAAAAUAUUUUAUUAUACAUAUUAUGUAUAUUGAAAUUAUUAUUUGUACUUAUAAAUAUUAUUUUAGUCAUUCACCAAUUGAACCAAUGAUUCAUUGACUCGAUCCUUUUGCCAAGUUCCUUACAUGGUCGAGUUUAAUAACUAUGCAUACAACAGCAUCGUGAUAUCUAUUUGCUUAAUUAUUAUAUGGUGCAAAAUCCUGUCUUAUUUACUUUGCUUCAGCUACAUAUUUUAUUAAAUUUUAACAGUCAACUUCUUCUUUAAAAAAGACAAAAGAAAAAGUCAACUUCUUCUUCCAAAAAGACAAAAGGAAAAAUCAACUUCUUGAAACCCUUGUCUCUAGCAACUUGAAGUACAAUCGGGAGUUAUCCCAUGCGUUAGCAAUAGGACAGGAUGAUUUUCCUAUUGGAUCAUGAUACCUAAGAAUCUAUCUAAUCCUUUGUUCAUCUCCAAAAUACCUUAGGCAUAGCUAAUCUUUCCCUUGAUUGCCAUAUGCAUCAAUCUAUUUAGCUUCACAAACCUCUGAUGGACUUGUAAACAUUAAAUAGCACCAGAGGAAUCAGGGAUCAAACUGCAGCCACCUUUAAUAAAAUAUACUUUAAGAAUUAAUUAAUUGAUUCUACUGAGCAAAUUUGUUAAUUUCGAUGUCUCUUACUAUUAGGAUAAGAGUAAGGGUUAAAAUCAAAAAGUGCUUCCGGGAAAUAUGCAUAAUGGUCCUUGGUUCUUGCUUGAUGUCUCAGGUGUUAAAGCACGGCAAAAAAGGCAUCGGGGAUGGCAAGGUAGAGUAUAUGGCAUGUUUUAAACGCAAUUAAAGUGGAUGGUAUCAAGGAGUAAUCUAGACUACGACUAGUAAGUGAAAAGCAUUUAUACAGCGAAUUAUUUGUAUAAAUUCAUUUGCUUAUAUCAUUCAUAUAUCUUUCAACCAUCAUUCUGUCAGUUUUCUUUUUUCAAAAUAUUCUACUAUCCAAACACGUAUUUUGGUAUUAAAAAAAAAAGAAUCUAAUUUAAACUCUAUAAGUGACCCUGGCCCUCCACAUAUAAUUAUAUUUUAAGUGUCAAGAUCAUUUGUUUAAGGUCAAGAACUUUUAGUAAUAUGCAAAAUUCAUUUUUACCUGAAGAGGCAAGUUUUUCCUUUUCAUGGAAUCCAUUUCUUUUUUUCACUUAGGAUAUUUCAUUAUUUCGAUUAGAUUAAUCCCCUAAGAUUAUGUAGAACUUUAUCAAUACACAAUAAAAUAGCCCAUAAAAAUUAAUCACGAAACCUCCCGGUAACUAUCAAUCUACACAACUUGUGAUUUUUACGCAUGGAUAAGUCAUGGAAUCCAUUGACUGUGACUUUUAGGCAACGAGUUACUACUUUGCGUCUGCCCGCAAGAAAAGAACUUCGAACUUUUUCAGAAAACAAAACUUCAGAAAUAUAUCAAAAGAUUGCCCACCAGCUCUUAUCUACACCUUUUCUGGGUCCCAUUAGUCCCAUGAAACCUCAUUCGAUUUCUUGCACCAUUGUUUACUCUCCAAUCCAUCAUUCUCCCUCUUCUGCUGAUGAGAUCAUUCACCUACUCUGCUAUCUGUAAUUGAAAAACCACCCAAAGCCCACCAACCAGAACAGAUUUUGAGUUGAUAACAAGAAUCCUUGCAGGGUUUGAGAUAGGGCUGCCGGCCAAGAAAGAACACUGCUGGUAAAUGGCUAAUGAGAAAGAAAAUCCUAGAGGAGGCUCGUAUGGACGAGGUGAUCAUCAAGAAAUGGUUGCUGGUCUAUUGUUUUCUCAGAAACCCGGAUUUGAUCUCAUGCAGAACUGUGAUUUACCACCACCAGUGAAGAUUUUUGCUGGUCAUGAUAAGACGAUUGUGUCACCGAUGAAUAACGUUUACAGCAUGAUUGCCGGGCAGAAAGAUGAGGAUGUUGGGGUGGAAAUGGCUUACGACAAAACUUCUGAGACUGAAAAAUUGGAGCUUCUCAAGGCCUUGAGAUUAUCUCAAACACGAGCAAGAGAGGCAGAGAGGAAAGCUGCUGUUUUGUCCAGGGAGAGGGAUGAUCUUUCUAACCUGUUGCUGCAACAAUCAAUGCAUUUAUUUGCUUAUAAGCAAUGGGUGAGAAUGAUGGAACUCCAAUUGCCUAAACUGAAUAAGCACCAAGAAAAACGAGAGCUUAGUUCUGCUGCAACCAAUUGGGAGGGAAAUAUGCCUAAGGAGGAAGGCGAAAACAAUGGAGAAAAAGGCAUGACAUGGCUGGUGACCGUGGCAAUCUGUGUGGGCAUUGCUGGGUUUGGAUUUUACAAUUUCUUUUCAAGUUACUAUUGAUAUUUUUAUUAUCCUCCCAAAUUUUAUUAAUUGUACAUAAUUACAGACUAGUUUUUCACUGUUCAGUUUUCUGCUUCAUAAAACAGAAUUACACGCAUAUUCAUGUGACAUUACCAAGCUGAGAGUUCAGAUGUUAAAUGAAAACUCAUAUCCUUCUUAAUCAGACCAAUACCGGUCGAGGAGAGAAAAUUUACAGAUUCUCUAAGCAUAUUUACAAAAGGCAAUGUUUUUGUGCGACUUCUACAGUCUAAUGCAGGUCUCCAAUAAUAUAUACUCUUGUACAUCAGGCUACUACAUUAACACAGGCAAGGCAGUAUAUGUACAGAUGGGGAAUGAAAUUGUUAGAUUCCAUAUUAAAUAAUGGCAAGGUGUAUAGACCUCAAAUGAUUAUAGCAAUCAUCAGCACUUCCGAAGAAUUCCAGACAGACCCAACAAACAUGCUUCCCGCACCUACACUCAAUAUGGUUGCAUCCGUCCACUUUCUCAAUUGUAAACCUGCACACAGGGCACUUUUUCACAUUUUCUUUCCCAGCGCACCAUUCCUUCAAAGAUGAAUCAGGGUCAACUUUAAACUCCUUGUACUUCUCACAUGACAAGAAUGGAUGAUACUCCAGGUGGCACCUAGUACACGUCUCCACAUAACAUGCAUCGCAGACAAACGGAGCACCGGCCUCAGUUGCUCGAUAAACUGAAGGGCAGUCGGGAGAGGGGCAAAACCUGUAAACUCCACCACUUCCCACCACAAAUGCAGCCAGAGAAGCCCUGAAAAGUUCUUCGAACUUCUCACCCAGCAAUAGAGACCUUAAAUCCGUUAGCAACACAGAAGCCCCACAACCUUUCCGUGCACAACGUAUUGGAAAGCUGUCCUGGCUUUUAAUUGCAGAGUCGCACUGCUCCACUAAACAUGAUCUGCAGAACUCAUGUCUGCACAGUUCAAGCUUGUAGCUAUCCUCCACUUCACACAAGCAAAUGGGACAGGUAGCCUCCUCGUUUCCAUUUUUAUUCGGUGAACCGCUAGUCCGUGCAAUCUCAUAGAUUCUCUCUUCAACUUUUUGCUUCAGGUCUUUUGUGCCCCCAAGACCUUGCCCUUCCUUCAGGUCUUCUACUCCUUUAAGACAGAUGCAAUGCCGCUUCGUAUUCAAGGAAAACUCUGCCCCUGGAAACAUUUCUUUAAGCGAAUGCAGAUCCGGACCAAACUUCUGAACAACCCUUUUCAUCAGAUCAGGAGGUAAAACUGCACCACGAAGAUGGACUUCCAGUUGCUUGUUCUCAUGCAGUCUGAGAAGGGAUUUAACAAGUCUCUUUUUGGCAACCUCAAUCUUGGCUGUUGUGCCAAAAACCCUCAAACUGAGGGCUUGCUUGUCAAAAAGAAUAUAGGUUCCUGUCUCCCGCUGAAUCGUAUUCAAAACAUUGAGACCAUCACGAGAGAAAAGCAACUGCAAAACUGUUGGAGUGAUUGCUGCAUCGUCUAUACUGUUGCCUUUCAUGAGCCCCUCCAAUGGUCUUCUCAAUUCUGCCACUGUUUUGGUAGCAGUUGCAGAUAUCUUUACUCGACAUGAACCAUUCUCAUUUACUUCCAUAUUGCAUUCAACACCUGGAAACAAUCAAAACCAAUAUUCAAUUAUCACAGUGGAUUGGUUCAUUUAUAACCUUUUAAGAAUUUUAACUAGGGCACUUCUAAAACCAUAAGCACACAAACAUGCUGAUAAUUUCAAGGUUGCUUCAUAUGCCAACCAUAUGCAGUUACAGCAGCUUAAAUGUCUAAAAAGAGCUCCAAAAAUUUUUUUUAAAAAACAAGGGUCUAAAAAGAGGUUGCCACAGCAAAGACAACAUGGCAACAUGGCUAAUACAGGAGUGCUACACCAACAAAUGGAGUUGCAAUUGAUGAAAAAAAAAAAAAGAUGGCCAUAUGUGUUGUACUUCCCUGCAAAUUCCAUCACAUAUUCUGGAUCAAAAUUUUCUUCAAAGCUGUUGUUUUGCAUCAAGUUACUCAUCAGGAUGUGCUGUAUUUAGAGUUGCACUUUACAUUAAACAGCACCAAUACAAGUACAAAAAAGCACAAAGUCUAAUCCACCUAUAGCACCUCCUUAGUACUGAAAAAGAAAGGGAGUCUAAAAAGGACACCCUAACAUGGGUAUGUGGGCAUAUAUAUAUCAAACAAAUAUCACUAAGUUUGACAUAUUCAAGAGGGAAAAUGGCGGAAAACCACUUCUCUAUCAAAUUUCAAAGAAAAAUUCAGGCCAAUUUCAUCUGAAGAAAAGCUUUUCACCACAGAAUUACCCAUCCUGUGUCAGUACUGCAGUGGCUAAAGAGAAAAGUAUUUUACAAACAGACAAUCCCUUUCUCUUUAAAGAAGCAAAAGAGAUUUAAUUAUUUACAGCCCCAAAGGAAGGGGGGGGGGGGGGGAUCACCCAUAGACACUGCCACAGUUCAGCUGAAAAUGAGAAGCCAUAAAAUUUCAGCCUGUUGGUCAGUACUUGUCCAUGAAAGUCAAGUAUGCCAACUCCACUAGGCAAAAUGCAAAAUGCAUUACAAUCUUCAGCUGUUUAGAAGGAAUUUGUUAUAUUCAACCACUUAGAUAUUCAGACAAAAGCACAACUGUGAGAUUUUAUAAAUUCAAGUCAUUUACCAGAAAGGUAUAGAAGAAUGAAUUUAAAGCAUCAGUAAAUUGUGAGAUAUCUUGGGAACAACUAAAAAUUGAAACCAAAAAAUCUAUAAAGCCAGAAAUGAAGUAAAAACCACUAUAAGAUCCAAAGGCAAACAAAGAAAAAAACAUAAUUAUUAGUUGAAUCAGUUGCAUAUUACUGUGAGAUAAAAUAAGAAAGUGUCAUCUUUUCUCAUGUUGAAGCAGUCACAUAAAUACUUUUAUGUGCCUCAGAAAAUUUAUGGUUCAAGCUGUAUUAUUAGAGCAUUGAAAAUGAGAAUGCACACAUAAUGAAUCAAUUCUUGUUCCCAAGAAGGAAAAUCAAAAGAUUCAAACCUUUUCGGCAACGGAAGCUCUUGACUAAAUGAUCCAGCUGACUCCUUAUAACCAAGUAAACAGAUGCAGGACACCAAAUGGAGCUAUGAAACAAAUGCUGGCAUUUCAUCUUCUGCCAUGAGAAACAUCCCGGCAAUGCUUUUCCAUCAAUUUCAUCCAAAGCUCUUGCAGCCUCCAGAUGCAGACUCCCAUUAAACAUAAUUGUGGCUCUCAUGUAAGUGUCCUUUGGUUCUGGCUGGGAUACCUGGACACGGACGCAGCUGCCAAGAGGGUUCGUUUUAGGCAUAAAGACAGAUAUUUCUCUCAGAAGUGCUUCUUCACAAGCAGCAGGUGAAGGACCUUCCACAGUGUUUCCCCUCAACAAGAAAAUAUCACGUAUUUUCCUAUUUGUUACAGUAUAUAAAACUUCAAAAAUUUCAUCUUCAGAAAUUUCUCUAUCAAGUCCUGUAAUCACAACACUGUCCAUGUACUUUGCGCUUGGUUCACAACGAGCAUACCUUCCUCCAAUUAUAAUGUCCGAGAAAUCAUUUACCAGGGCUUCAAUAUCCUCUUGCUCACACUUAACAAUUGCUAUGCCUUUACUGUAUCUACGAGGCCAACAAACUUUUGCUCUGAGAUCAGGAAAGGGCAAUUUUUUAUCACUACCAUGUGUGCUCCGUGAAGGAAUGACCUUCAGCAAGCCGCCACAUAACUCAACCAGAUUAAGUUGAGUAGCCCUCUUUGCAGUAUCAGGUGAGAGAAAUGUAAUCCUUCCCCAUUUCUCCUGCUCCUCACUUUCUUGGCCGACAGCUGAAAACUUAUGGACAGCACAAAUAGUGCCCGACGUGGAUUUCUCCAGAAACAUCAAUAGCUCCUUGUCAUUAACACAAUUCAUAUCUGAAUGAAAUAUGUCAAUGGUCAAACAGCUCUUUUCAAGCUCUAGAUGCUUGAUCUCACCACCAGCUCCAAACAAAGCUACAGAAGGUGAGACAGCGGGCCCUCCACUGUACAAGCGUUUCUCCAAACACUCAUUUUGCAAUAAUCUCACUUCAUACUGCAAUGCAUCAUUCACAAAGCCAGAAACCUUGUCCAUGUCCUUUGAAGAAGCAUGCAACCAAACUUCAUUCUCAUUUACCUUUACUUCAACACCGAUUCGUUCAUCCACACAUUCUGUUCUGAUACAUGAAACAAGACGAUGCAGACAACUAUUAGCUUUUCCACAGAACCUUUUCAAUAGCAAACUGCCAAACCCUGUCAAAACCCUAAUGUGAAGCUUCUCACUUUCCAUCUUGGAGAAAUCAAACGAAGGAGGUGGACAAACAGCAGCCAAAGAUUUGAAAUCAAAUGCAGUAACACAUACCAAAUAUUGGUAAGAUGCUGAAAGAAUUUCACCAAAAACAACCCAACUAGGUCUUUGAUCAAAAACAAGUAAAGAACAUGAUGGAUGUAGUGGGAUAUGUUUCCUUGUAAGCGCCACUUCAUAUCCAAGGUGAUCAUAACCAGAGUACAUAGCUACAUUUUCCACAAAAGCAGAAAGUAUAAUGCUUUUAAGAGUCUCAUCAUGCUCAGUAUGAAUCUGUGGAUUCCAGCGCCAAUAACUUGGGAUAAUAAUGCUUAGUUCAUUUUGAAGGCAAGAUUCCAGUUCUUGAACUGCCUCUUGGCAUCUUCGCAUGGAUUUUGCAUUGAUGCUGUUCUCCCAACACCAGAUAUUCUUCCUCACAGGAGGCACAGCGUCCCAAUCUUUGUAAACAGCAAGCAAAGUGAAGAGAUCACCGCUCUGAUGACAGAAUUGGACCUUAAGGCGGUCAGAUUUUAGUUUGCUUUCUUCAGAACCAACUCUACAAAAUAUGCUGCUGGAAUUUGCCAUGACAGCAGCAAGAACAAUGCCCUCCCUACCAAGGCGGUUACGGAAGCAUUUCAGAAUUAUUUUCCCAAGCCGAGGUUCAAUUCCCAACCUAACCAAGUCAUACCCUUCCGAAGUCAAUUCAUAAAGAUUAUUCCUUUGGGUGACAGCUCCAAGUUGAAUAAGAUUUCUGAGGGCCAUCUCAAUUGCCUUUGGACUAGGUGCAUCAACAAAAUCAAAAUCCUGCACAUUCUUGAUACCCAAAGCAAGAAUUCUCAGAACUGCAACACCAAGGUGCACCCUGCGAAUUUCAGGUUCCUGGUGAGGAGGCAUUAUCUCAAAAUCACUCUCAGAGUAAAGCCUGUAGCACGUCCCAGGUUCAGUCCUCCCAGCACGGCCAGCCCGUUGAUUAGCAGAACUCUGGCUGACCCUGCAAACCCUGAGAACAUUCGUGCCAGUACCAGGCUCAAAUUUACUCUCCUUCACCAUGCCCGAGUCAACAACGUAUUUAACGCCUGGAAUGGUUAAAGAAGUCUCAGCAACAUUUGUUGCAAAUAUUACUUUUCUUUUUCCUGGAUAGUUCGCAAAAACUUGAUUUUGCUCUUCAAAAGUCAGUUUCCCAUGUAGAGGUAAUGCAAUAGCUGAAGGAGAUCGGAAAUUCUCACAAGCCCACUCAACCUCCAUUUGUGAAGUUAAGAAGGCAAGAACAGUUCCUUCUUUAUCCAUUUUAUGGAUCUCAUAAACCAUCUUCACAACAUCAGAAACGUAAGGUGCAACCAUGCUAGAAUCAGAUUUGCCCUCAGAUUCACAAGGUACAUAGCGGAUAUCAACAGGAAAGUUUCUGCCAGCAACACGAAAGGUUCCACAACCAAAAAAGUAAUUCGCAAGCUGUUCUGCAUCAGCUGUCGCAGACAUAAUGACAAGCCUCAGAUCAAGCCUCUGAUGUAGUAAUUUCUUAAUCAUCGCUAAAAGAAGAUCAGUAUUUAAGCUUCUUUCAUGUGCCUCAUCAAUUAUAAUGCAUGAAAUCCGGGAUAAAUUCUUAUCACGCAUGUAGUGCUGCAGUAAGGAGUGAUCUGUCGUAAAUAUUACCUUGGAAUUGUAGUUCUGACUAGAUGAAUAAGAUGGAUAACAGAUGACUGAAUGAUCUUCAUAACAACCACGACUUUCCUCCUUAACCCUCUGUGCCAAUGAAACUGCAGCAAGUUUACGAGGCUGAGUGCAAACAAUGGAUCCCUUACCAGCCACACCAGAAUCAGCAAGAAACUGAACCAAUUGCGUACUCUUUCCAGAACCAGUCUCCCCAAUCAAAACUGUAAUCUGAAACAUUGGACAAGAGAAAAGACACAAAAAUGAAUAGAAUGAGAGCAGCAGCUAUAUACCACCUGAAGCAUAGAGAGAGGGAGAGAGGUGGGGGUAAAUACCAUGAAUCAUCACAUGGUUAACAACACCAUUCCUGACUACCAUAAAAAAUUAGAGCUGAGUACAAGAACUUUACAAAUACACCAUAUACACCUUCCACCCCCGUGCUACCCAAAAACAAAAAGACCACAACAUGAGAAAAGGAAAAUGCGACACAAAUAAAGCCACAAGGAAACACAAAAAAAACAUACCACCAUGUCCUCUCUCCUGCUGAUUCCUUCUCUCUACUUCCAAUCCCCUAUGGUCAUCUAGCGGCUCAAAAUGUCCUUAAAACAAAAUAAUACCAGAAAAAAAAAAGCAUAUCUUACAGGCUAUCAUGCUUCCAAUCCUAAAGAGAAAUAUGAAUAGAUGUUUAAGCAUUCACCACAGUUCAUGUCUGACAGAAAAGAUUAUAUGUUCUUGGCUGGUGUAUCAUAAAUCUAAAAAGACAACUAGACGCACAACAGGAGGGAUGAUUUCGCAAAGAAAGGACGCACAACAGACUCUUCAAACCUAAAACAGCAAAAGUAAAAACAAAGCGUUGAU
rnacentral:lncRNA from 1 species